rnacentral:miRNA from 1 species
ACUCUGAAGCUCCCUCAGGAAGCUGGUUUCAUAUGGUGGUUUAGAUUUAACUACUCGGUGUCUAGCACCAUUUGAAAUCAGUGUUCUUGGAGGAAGAAUGGCUUCCCUU